rnacentral:rRNA from 1 species
AUGGUUCAGGCCCAUCAGGCCACCGAUGCCGCCAGUGUUCUUCUGAGCGCCAUUCCCCAUCUUGGCAUUCCCUGCCGCCGCGCCCAUGUUCAUCUUCUGGUUCUGGUUGUUCUGAUGGUGGUUGUUCCCUGCUGGGGCGCCUUUCUUGCCGCCGACAUUGGCGGCAUUGCCGCCGUUCUUGUUCUUGGCGUUGAUCGCCGCCGCAGCCUCGGCGCGCUGCCUGAGGAUGCCGAGCUGGCUCAUCUUGUCCCCGAGGAAGCGGAGGUCGUCCUCAUACUCAUCGUCAAACUCAUCAUCGUCUUCGUCGUCCUCAUCAUCAUACAUAUCAUCUUCGUCAUCCGAGCUCAGGUCAGGGAGCUGGUGCUUGCUGUGCUGGCUCUUGAAGGCCUUGAGCCCCUGCAUGAGGCUCCCAACUCCGCCACCAAGCUUGCCCUGCUCCUUCUGCCCGCCGCUGCCCUUGCCGCCGCCAUCCUUGCUCACAUUGGCAGCCUGCUUCUGCUGCUGCUGCUGCUGCUGCUGCUGCUGCUUCUGCUGGUUGUUGUUGUUGUUGCCAUUGCCCUUGUGGCCCUGGUUGUUGUUGCCGCUGCCGCCCUUCUGGUGUGA